rnacentral:rRNA from 1 species
GACGAACGCUGGCGGCGUGCUUAACACAUGCAAGUCGAACGGAAAGGCCCUGCUUUUGCGGGGUGCUCGAGUGGCGAACGGGUGAGUAACACGUGAGUAACCUGCCCUUGACUUUGGGAUAAAUUCAGGAAACUGGGGCUAAUAUCGGAUAUGAGCUCCUGCUGCAUGGGGGGGGUUGGAAAGUUUCGGCGGUUGGGGAUGGACUCGCGGCUUAUCAGCUUGUUGGUGAGGUAGUGGCUUACCAAGGCUUUGACGGGUAGCCGGCCUGAGAGGGUGACCGGCCACAUUGGGACUGAGAUACGGCCCAGACUCCUACGGGAGGCAGAAGUGGGGAAUAUUGCAGAAUGGGCGGAAGCCUGAUGCAGCAACGCCGCGUGCGGGAUGACGGCCUUCGGGUUGUAAACCGCUUUCGCCUGUGACGAAGCGUGAGUGACGGUAAUGGGUAAAGAAGCACCGGCUAACUACGUG